AAUAGAUACCCCGGUAGUCCACGCCGUAAACGAUGAGUGCUAAGUGUUAGAGGGUUUCCGCCCUUUAGUGCUGCAGCUAACGCAUUAAGCACUCCGCCUGGGGAGUACGGUCGCAAGACUGAAACUCAAAGGAAUUGACGGGGGCCCGCACAAGCGGUGGAGCAUGUGGUUUAAUUCGAAGCAACGCGAAGAACCUUACCAGGUCUUGACAUCCUCUGACAACUCUAGAGAUAGAGCGUUCCCCUUCGGGGGACAGAGUGACAGGUGGUGCAUGGUUGUCGUCAGCUCGUGUCGUGAGAUGUUGGGUUAAGUCCCGCAACGAGCGCAACCCUUGAUCCUAGUUGCCAGCAUUUAGUUGGGCACUCUAAGGUGACUGCCGGUGACAAACCGGAGGAAGGUGGGGAUGACGUCAAAUCAUCAUGCCCCUUAUGACCUGGGCUACACACGUGCUACAAUGGAUGGUACAAAGGGCUGCAAGACCGCGAGGUCAAGCCAAUCCCAUAAAACCAUUCUCAGUUCGGA
rnacentral:rRNA from 1 species